rnacentral:rRNA from 1 species
CAUGGCUCAGAUUGAACGCUGGCGGCAUGCUUUACACAUGCAAGUCGGACGGCAGCACAGAGAAGCUUGCUUCUUGGGUGGCGAGUGGCGAACGGGUGAGUAACGCAUCGGAACGUACCGAGUAAUGGGGGAUAACUGUCCGAAAGGACAGCUAAUACCGCAUACGCCCUGAGGGGGAAAGCGGGGGAUCUUAGGACCUCGCGUUAUUCGAGCGGCCGAUGUCUGAUUAGCUGGUUGGCGGGGUAAAGGCCCACCAAGGCGACGAUCAGUAGCGGGUCUGAGAGGAUGAUCCGCCACACUGGGACUGAGACACGGCCCAGACUCCUACGG